rnacentral:lncRNA from 1 species
CCACUGCCUCUGUGCCUGCCUGUACUGCUGAUGCUCCAGUGGAUAACUCAGCAUCCCAGCCUAGGCCCAAUGCCACUGAAGAUGGACCUGCACCCUGGGGACCCAGGAGUCCUACCACUCAGCUGUCCCCAGGAGUGCCCAGACCCUCAUUCUUAUCCAGGACCUAGGAGCCCUACCCCUGGCCUUCCCUCAUCAGCCGUAAAUGAUGAUUUACUGCUGUUACCAUCAUCACUGCCUUCAGUGACCAAGGGCCUUCCAAGGUGCCAGCUCUGGAACGAAAGAUGCCCUUGGGAGGUGAUGACACUCAGGUACACGGGUGCUCAACAGAUUGCUUCCUCCUAUCCUCAGACGGUCUUUGCAUUCAUGCAGCCAUUGGCACUCCCAUUGUAUGGAAGGAAACCAGCCCAGGGUCACACAGCUGGUCAGCAGCAACAUAGCUGGUCUCAAAUCUAAGGUGCCUGGCCAUGCCUCCAUGAGGGACCGCCUGCAAGGGAGGUUGAUCCUGGCUUUGGGGAGCCUUUCCUGGGCUGCACGAAUAACCUCCAUUGUUCGAGACCCCAAACUCUGCUCACAUCUUCCUUUCCCUGUCUCUGCUUGGGCUAUGAUCACGGUGACUCUAGCAACCCUUCAUGGACAUUAUAGUACUCUCUGCCAUUCACUUUUGGUCUAAUCUGACUUCAACCCCCACUUACUUGGUCUCUCCUUUUACAACCAACACAACCGAAAUCUAG